ensembl:lncRNA
UUUUUUUGUCUUAUUAAUGUCAAGAGAGAGAGAGAUAAAGGUAUGGAAGCUUAUUUCCACUACGUAUGAGAAAAUGUUAUGCAGAAUGAUCUCACAAUUACCUUCUUUUUAUCUCACAUCCUGUUAACACACUCUCCAGGAGUGGCCCAGCCCCGCUGAAAAGAAUACUUCACUUAGGUUAUAUUGCCUCGCAACACAUUGCUAGGUUUUUGUUGUGGAUUGAUUAUGGGAAACGGAAGCACAGAGUCACAACUGUUAAAUAUUAACUCGCAGGUGAAACGUACAGUCGCAAUUGUGUGAAAAUAACGAGAUUUUUAGAGCUGCUAUAACAUAAAACGGGAACCAACUUGAUUCUUGGAUGUUCCACAACAUUCAACAUAUUAAUAAAUGAGUAAAAAUCACAUAUUCUUUAAUGAAUUAAUAUCCCACUUCAUCUCAGGCCACAUCACACCACCCCACCAUUGAAUACUUUCCUAUAACAUGCUCCCAAAGUGCUUUAUUCCUUAAACAAAACCAUAUGUCCUUCUUCUAAUGAACUCACUCAAACAUUUUAAAAAGAAGUCAAACAUCAGAUAUCCACGAAGACUGUGGAAGCAAAUUGUAGUAGUAUCUGUGGUACCUGCUCCUCUUUCAAUGUUCAUAAGGUGUAGUCUGCUCUAGUUUUAGCUGUUCAUGUAUUGUUCUUGUUUAUUGAUAUGAUGUUUGGUUAUGCUAACUGUACCCCCCCCCCCCUCUAGUUGACUUAAUUUAACCAAUGUUACUUCAUUAAUUUUGUGACUUACAUACUGAUAUCUUUCUAGUUCUAGGUUCAAGUUUGCAGUAACUGUCUAAAAUAUGAUUUAGUAUAACCUAAUUAUGACAUGAAAUCCAUGUAAUUGCUUCAGAAUUGAAGUAUAAACACUGAAAUGCUUAUUUUACCAGCCUAAUGGCUUCACCUAACUGCAAAAUCUAUCACUGGCAAACAUGGCUGCGCUUCCACAGCACAGAACAGUGUAAACUUUAAAAAAAAAUUUUUUGUGACUAACCUCAUUAACACACCAUUCAUUUGAAAUUGAAGGUAACAUUUUAUUUAAAAAAAUAAUAAUAAUGUAACAUUACAGUUUCUGCAUAAACCGUGAUCAAAGUUGAACUUCAAACUUCUGCAGUGUUCAGAAAUAACUAGCAGUUAAGCCUUACGUACCAGAUGAGGUAGACGCUUCCCCUCUUCAGGAAAAUAAUUAAGCAGAAAUAUUUAACAUUAGCAAUGGAGUGUGGUUAAUUUUCUUAGUUAAAGCAGUUUUGUAUAUGAAAGUUCUACAAAAAUAAAGACUUUGUUAUUUAAAAAAGUAGUAUAUAUAUAUAUAUAUAUAUAUAUAUAUAUAUAUAUAUAUAUAAAAUACAUAUUUAAAUGGAUAUAAAAAAAAAGUUUUCAAUUUAAACAAAAGGGAUGUGGCUGUACACUACUAGUCAAACGUUUUGGAAAAACUAGGGCUUCUUAUGAUUACAUUACAUCCAUAUCACAGCACUGUUGAACUCUUGAUUCUGACUGGGUCAAGUUCUCCGACACAGGAAUGUCGGAAAAAUGAAGGACAUUGUACUUUGUCAGUAACAUGACACGUUUCAUUGUCUUAUUAACUUCAAGAGAGAGGACAAAAAGAGAUCCUGGUGAGAGAACUGGUUAUAGCUGUUACAAUUUAAACGAUACCAGGAACAAGCUAGUUGCAUGGAUGUUUCACCCCAUUAAAUGCAACUAUAAAUGGAUAAAAAUGAUGUGGAAAUUCACUAACAAAAAUAUACAUGAUUUGGAUUACAAAAAUAUGCAUUUUCGAAACUUUGACGGUUAAAGUAAAUGGUUCUGUUACGAUAGCCGUGAAAACCGUGCUCCAUAGUUAGGGAUAAAAACAACUUACAUUUUGUAAUAAGCGAAAAACCCCAAAACAAAACAAAACAAGCACCCUAACAUUUUGAAGUGAAAUAAAUAAAUAAAUAAAUAAAUCAAUCACAGAUGGUCUCUCUUUCUCUUCUUUUUGAGUUUUGCACUGUCGGUCCAUGAACACCAAUUUGACUUGCCAGAGACAGCGACUUUUUCAGCUCCGAGUGUGGCAUCUAGAUCAUUAUCUGGGUCUCUUACUUGCUUCUUUUUCUUAAUAUGUACUAAUAAUGCACCCCCUGAGGAUGAAAUACUGUCCUUUUUAGCAUGGCAUGUGUCUAAAGCAUCUCUUGAUUCUUCUGCAGCAAAUAGCUUAGGUACAACAUCUAAAAUCUGAUUCCCACCUCUAUCAACUGUGUCCUUUCUAUUCUUUUUCUUCUUCUCCUUCUCAAUUAUUGCUUCUGAAGGUUCUGAUGGAGAACCACUCUCCUGCCACAAUUCAUGUUCAACAAUCUCAGGAUACACUUCUAUGUCUGUUUCUACCCAUUGCUGCUUCUUCUUCUUCUUCUUCUUUUUCCUUCCAUUAGGCUGUAUGGUAUCCUCUGACUGCAGUACUUGUUGGCUACUUUCAGAACGGUCAUCUUUGGUCCUCUCACAUUUGUUUGUCUCAUUGGUGUCAUUUUGUCCACUACUUGAAGCUUCUUUCACUACUCUUGUCUGUUUAGUAUUUUGCCAAUGGGAGUCAUCCAGAUGCAACAAGCCGUGAGAAACCGACCACGAUCCAUCAUUUUCCAACUCUUUCCUUUUCCUCUUCUUUUUCUUCUUCUUCACUGGUUCUGAUCCACCAACACCUUCCUCCUCACCAAUCCCUCCAGUCUCACUUCUGGUGCUUGGGGUAUUGGAUGUUGUCAUCUCUAUGAGAUCAAGUCUGAGAGACACGGAUGCAUUUUUAGACGUCUCCUCUUCUUGAUGCGUUUUAAUUCUGCCCUUUUUCUUCUUUGGCUUUCUCACCAGAACCACCUCAGCUGCUUGCUGCUCAGAAUCUUGAGUAUUUGGAGCCUCCACUUGUUCUGUCGUCUCUACCAACAAUGCCUCAACGUCCAUAUUUUCUUCCCUGACCACCUUUUGCCGUUUCCUUUUUUUCCUCUUCUUCCUUUGAGUUAUAGAGUGAUCUGUCAAAUCUAUGCUAUUCACUGGUUGGAUUUCUAUGCCUGCUGGUAUUUCGGGGAUUUUCUCCAACGGUUCUCCAAUAUUCUUACUGGCCGUAGCCAUCUCUCCUACUUGUCCUUCUCCAACAUCAUCUAUAAACAUUUUCUUCUUUUUCUUGACAGUUUUGAUACCAUGGCUUGAAUAAGAUUCUUCACUACACUGCCAAGCCACGAUCUCAGUUAUCACAGGACUUGAAUCCUGUUUCGUCUUCGCCCUUUUCUUUUUCUUUUUCCUUUGUGGUUCAAGACAAUCAGACUGAACAAAAUUAGAAAGAUCAGUUCUGGUCAGCUGCUCAGUUUCCUCAGCUAUAGACACCAAAGAAGCUGAACCUUGACAGGGGAUCUGGAUAGCCUCCUCUACACCAAUCCAUUCAUCUUCCUGAGGCACUGGUUGACCAUGUUUGUCUUUUUUUCUCUUUUUCUUUGGUUUAAUUCCAUUCACUGAAGCACAAACCACUGAAGAGUCCUGAACUGAUAGACCAGAGUCUGCAGCAACACUGAUGUCUGGCAAGGUGUCAACUGGUUCCUCCAACAACCGAUCAUUUUUGUCCUUUUUUCUCUUUGGUUUACUUCCACUAACUGAAGCACAAACCACUGAAGAGUCCUGAACUGACAGACUCGAGUCUGCAGCAACACUGAUGUCUGGCAAGGUGUCAACUGGUUCCUCCAACAACCGAUCAUUUUUGUCCUUUUUUCUCUUUUUCUUUGCUUUACUUCCACUAACUGAAGCACAAACCACUGAAGAGUCCUGAACUGAUAGACCAGAGUCUGCAGCAACACUGAUGUCUGGCAAGGUGUCAACUGGUUCCUCCAACAACCGAUCAUUUUUGUCCUUUUUUCUCUUUUUCUUUGCUUUACUUCCACUAAUUGAAGCACAAACCACUGAAGAGUCCUGAACUGAUAGACUCGAGUCUGCAGCAACACUGAUGUCUGGCAAGGUGUCAACUGGUUCCUCCAACAACCAAUCAUUUUUGCCCUUUUUUCUCUUUGGUUUACUUCCACUAACUGAAGCACAAACCACUGAAGAGUCCUGAACUGACAGACUCGAGUCUGCAGCAACACUGAUGUCUGGCAAGGUGUCAACUGGUUCCUCCAACAACCGAUCAUUUUUGUCCUUUUUUCUCUUUGGUUUACUUCCACUAACUGAAGCACAAACCACUGAAGAGUCCUGAACUGAUAGACCAGAGUCUGCAGCAACACUGAUGUCUGGCAAGGUGUCAACUGGUUCCUCCAACAACCGAUAAUUUUUGUCCUUUUUUCUCUUUUUCUUUUCUUUACUUCCACUAACUGAAGCACAAACCACUGAAGAGUCCUGAACUGAUAGACCAGAGUCUGCAGCAACACUGAUGUCUGGCAAGGUGUCAACUGGUUCCUCCAACAACCAAUCAUUUGUGCCCUUUUUUCUCUUUGGUUUACUUUCACUAACUGAAGCACAAACCACUGAAGAGUCCUGAACUAAUAGACCUGAGUCUGCAGCAAUACUGAUGUCUGGCAAGGUAUAAACUGUUUCCUCCAACAACCGAUCAUUUUUGACCUUUCUUCUUUUUUUACGCUUGACGUCAUCAAAGUGAAGUGCAGAAUAUUCAUUCUGACCCAAAUCAGCUUGUCUUGGUGCCAGGUUAUCUGAGAUCUCAGGGUCUUUAGUCUUUUUAUUUUUCUUCCUCUUCAGAAAUUUCAAUCCACCAAAAUUGAACAGUGGGGUCUCGGUCUUCUCUUCCUGUCUGACCAUGAGGAUAUCCUUACUACAACUUGAGUAAUCAUUUCCUAUGGAUCCUGAUUCGUAAUCCUCUAAUGGCAGUGAUGAAUGAUGGUGUGGAUCUUGCAUAUCCAAUGUCGUCUUGUCCUUUUCCUUUCUUACCUGGCAUAUAUCUCCAGCUGUUGGUGAGACUAUUUCACUCGGGUGAGUCCUCAGAGAUUUGGAAUAUUUAAGAAAGUCACCCUCCAUAUCUUCCAAGAUUAAUGAACCCUUUUUCUUUAUUAUCAAACCUAUGUCAUCAUGUGGUACUACAAUGCUUUCUAAGACUUCCUUAUCAUUUUCAACACUAGUCUCUUUUAAAGGACUUGAUUGAUUAUUUGGUUCUUGAAAAAGAUCCUGUGAGCUGAUGAAACCUCCACUAACACUACCAAAGUCUUCGUUUUCCAGUGGCUCGUGAUGUACGCUUUGAUGGAUAUCCUGGACUUGUACUUGGUGUUCACAGGAUGAGAUGUUCUCAAAGCAGAGUGCAUCUUCCUUUCCUUCUUUGUCCGUAGGGUUGUCCUGCAAAAUCUGGGUUUCGUUUCCAAGUGGCUCAUGAUGUACGCCUUGAUGGAUAUCCUGGACUUGUACUUGGUGUUCACAGGAUGAGAUGUUCUCCAAGCAGGGUGCAUCUUCCUUUCCUUCUUUGUCCGUAGGAUUGUCCUGCAAAAUCUGGGUUUCGUUUCCAAGUGGCUCAUGAUGUACGCCUUGAUGGAUAUCCUGGACUUGUACUUGGUGUUCACAGGAUGAGAUGUUCUCCAAGCAGGGUGCAUCUUCCCUUCCUUCUCUGUCCAUAGGGUUGUCCUGCAAAAUCUGGGUUUCGUCUUCAUCCUGGUCUACCAAAUUUGGCCGCUGCGUCUCCUCGUCUGACGUUUCAUCAAUUGGUUCCAUCCAGUUCCAUUCGGCAGAUUUCCUGCUUUUCUCACCGUUCUCCGUGGACCGAGACACUUCUAUAUUAAGUGAGCUGCUCUCAUUAUAUACAUCUGCAUCAUCUUGAGGCGCCAUCAGGUCUUCAGCAACUUUCCUGGUUUGAGAACACGUCUCCUGCUCCUCUUGACAUUUGUUGCUUUUCUUAGUGCACGUUUCUGGAGCCUGUCUCGUUUUCCAUUUCAGGGAUGGUAGCCAUGUUUGUUGGUUUCUUUUAUGUGUGUUCUCAAUAAAGCAAUCUUUAUCCUAAAACAAAAUCAGACAUAUUGAUUAACAAUAAUAAAAUGUCUGUUUGAUGGCUUGAGAGAAAACUAAAGAAUAACUAGAAAAGAAUGAAACAAUCAAUCAUGACGUUUCUGAAAAGUCAAAUGCUAAAACGACGAUGCAGAAUUACAAAUUUUGACUUCAAAACGGCAUUCAAAUGGAUCCUUGUUACUUGACGAACCUGCCACCCCUGAAGUCACAGAUACAAUGCAGUAAACAGUUUUUUUUUUAAACUUUCAGUCCCUCAAAGAAACCUUGAAAUGGUUCUAAAUGGCAGACAUUUUCACUGUUAAUCUGUUGCUGCUCAAAAAAGUGUUGCACUUACCAUUUAAGUUAUUUGUGAAGUGAUACAUUUGACAAAUUUUUGAACUUUUUCAGUCGAAAAAUUUGGUGUAUCCCUAAAUCACUAAUGCUUAAACUAAUGAGCAUUUGGUAGGAAACGGGGUGGGGCCAGCAAGGGUGUCAGUUAAAACUGCAACUGUCAGUAAUUCCAAAUUCAUAUGUUGAUUGGCUAAUUUGUGGUUUUAUUAGAUUUAUUUGCUCAUUUGCUGUUUUAUUAUUUUUUAAUUAUUAUUCAGGGUUUUUGUCCUAUUCAGUUUUUUGUUGCAUGGCAAAAAGUGAAAACAUCACAACUGUCAAAAUAUAACUGCAAAAUAUACCACUUUUUUAACGUCCUCAUCAUCAUCAUCAUCUUCUGUUUGCAUACUGCUUUCCUUCCGUCUGUAAAUUAAAUCCGAAAAAAGUCAAUAAAAGGACAGACGAAUAAAAUAGAUUAAUAUUGUGUAUUAAUAUGUUCACUCACCUCUUGACUGAAAUGAAAACAGCAAGAGUUUUCUGACAUGGAUUCAAUGUUUAUAACAUUCCUACCACAGCACUACUGUACUCGCAAUUCAGUUUUUUUGCAAGGUGUUGAUUCAUUUCAGCAGCUCCGAUUGUCUUUUCGGCUGCAAUUCCGACGACAGGUUUAUUUUAAUUUGCUCGUUCUAAUACGUUAUGAUAACAAAUGACACCAGGACUUGUAUGCUCGGACGCUCCACAUAAUUGUAACUGUUGAUAAAAUUUCUGUUAGAUGUCGAUUCAUUCAUUUAUUUAUGGAAGGAGUCACCGGUGGCAGCACUCUGUUUUCCACCACAGGAAAGUCUUCAGGACAGAAAAGAUCCUAGUUCCUCAGGAACAUGACAAAAUGAUCAACUUCAAGAAAGGUUGGUGAGGGGACUCAUGGACCUUCAAGAAUGUCAACCCUAACUAUAACUGGUUAAUAAGUACAUAAUUUAUUAGUAUACUGAGUAUAAUGUAAUCUUCGUUAUAGGAAAAUGAUCAACUUCACGGUCCUAACAGUAAGUCCUGCUUACUAAGGCUGCUCCACACCACUACAUUGUAGAUCUUUUUCCUCCAACAGCAUGGCCAAUGUCAAAUUACACGCUUCAACAGAAACAAAUAUAAAACCUACACAAUACUGUAUUCAUGUUUUGUAUAAUACAAUGGUAAACUCACUCAGAAAGCAAUAAAGAUGGACUCAGCUCUCCUCUUCUUUUGUCUCCAUGACCUUUGCUCAGCUUCAAUAUGCAUUUAAAGAACCCACCAACCUCUGAAUUCUGAUAGACGGAAAUAAAAUUAUAAAACGAUUACCUUCACCUUAUAUAGCUGGAACGAAAUGUAAUUUAUCUAAAAUUGAAGAAGAAGAAAAAAAGUUUCCAGACAUUUCCAUUUUCUGAGAAUGCACUUAAAUUGUUGCCAUUCCUUUAACAUUCGGCUGAUAGAUACAGUGCACUCCAUUAAUAUUGGCACCCUUGGUAUAUAUGAGCAAAGACGGCUGUGGUUGUGAUCUUUUGUUAAAAAAAAAAAAAAAAAAAAUUUCACAUAAAAAUACUCUGCUCUCAUGGAUAUCAAACAAUUGCACAAAAUAAGUUUAUCAAAAAAAUAACUUCUAUACAAUAUUUAUUUUUUUUUUAAUUAGAAUAUGUUAUAUACAAAAUAUACAAUGUGCAACAAUUAUUGGCACCACUAUGAGUUCAUGAGAAAAUAUAUUUUAAGUAUAUUCCCAUUGAUAUUUGAAAAAAAAAAAUUGUACAACAAAAUUUUUUUGGAUAAACCCGUGUCGUGUUUGCAAUCGUUUGAUAUCCAUGAGAGCAGAGUAUUUUUGUGAAUUUUUUAAACAAAAGAUCAAAAGUUUCAACAAUAAAGACAAUUUUUCACAGCCUUCUUUGCUCAUAUUUACCAAAGGUGCCAAUAUUAGUGGAGGGCACUCUAUAAGUCUAAAUUAGAUUAAUUAUUAAUUUAAAGUCUUAUUUAUAGAACAAUUUAAAUGAUAAUAGUGUACCAUGGUUUGGGAGGGGGAUGUAAGG